rnacentral:rRNA from 1 species
CAAUGGGCGCAAGCCUGAUCCAGCCAUGCCGCGUGCGGGAAGAAGGCCUUCGGGUUGUAAACCGCUUUUGUCAGGGAAGAAACGGCCUGCACUAAUACUGCGGGCUAAUGACGGUACCUGAAGAAUAAGCACCGGCUAACUACGUGCCAGCAGCCGCGGUAAUACGUAGGGUGCGAGCGUUAAUCGGAAUUACUGGGCGUAAAGCGUGCGCAGGCGGCUUUGCAAGACAGAUGUGAAAUCCCCGGGCUCAACCUGGGAACUGCAUUUGUGACUGCAUGGCUGGAGUGCGGCAGAGGGGGAUGGAAUUCCGCGUGUAGCAGUGAAAUGCGUAGAUAUGCGGAGGAACACCGAUGGCGAAGGCAAUCCCCUGGGCCUGCACUGACGCUCAUGCANNNNAGCGUGGGGANNNAACAGGAUUAGAUACCCUGGUAGUCCACGCCCUAAACGAUGUCAACUGGUUGUUGGACGGCUUGCUGUUCAGUAACGAAGCUAACGCGUGAAGUUGACCGCAUGGGGAGUACGGCAGCAAGGUUG